CACGUAGGGCGCAAGCGUUGUCCGGAAUUAUUGGGCGUAAAGAGCUCGUAGGCGGUCUGUUGCGUCCGCUGUGAAAACUCGGGGCUUAACCCCGAGCCUGCAGUGGAUACGGGCAGACUAGAGGUAGGUAGGGGAGAAUGGAAUUCCCGGUGUAGCGGUGAAAUGCGCAGAUAUCGGGAGGAACACCGGUGGCGAAGGCGGUUCUCUGGGCCGUUCCUGACGCUGAGGAGCGAAAGCGUGGGGAGCGAACAGG
rnacentral:rRNA from 1 species